AUGCUUUGUUCCAAGCUACACAGUGGACUGUGUGAGCACCUUAACAAACUUACUCGACAGUUUGUGUGGGGCAGCAAAGAUGGCAGCGUUAGACCGAGCUGGGUCUCAUGGAAGGUAAUGACACAACCAAAGUUUAUGGGGUGCCUUGGUUUUCGAGACUUUGAGGUUUUUAAUCUUGCUUUAGUAGCGAGGCAAUCAUGGCGCAUUUUGCAGACACUUGAAUCCCUACGUGCAAGAUUGCUAAAAGCGAUUUAUUUCCCUAAUUCAUCAAUCCUAACUGCUGAGGUGGGCACCCACCCCUCACAGUUGUGGCGCUCAAUCAGUGAAGGAAGGGAUGUUCUCUGUCAGGGAUUGAUUAGAAGGAUUGGCAAUGGACCAUAUACCCGUGUAUGGAGCGACCAAUGGAUUCAACGAGAUGAAUUUUUGAGACCGUAUGCGUGUCUAUCCAGCCACCCACCCAUGUUGGUCAGUGAAUUGGUUGACAAUACGACUGCCACUUGGCGAUGGAAGAUAAUUGGCCAAGUGUUCUUAGCAGCCGGCCAUGAUGCAAUAAUGGGUAUCCCCAUGUGCAUUAAGAACACAGGAUUUUUGGGCCUGGAAUUUUGA
rnacentral:rRNA from 1 species